rnacentral:rRNA from 1 species
GAACGCGAAGAACCUUACCAGGUCUUGACAUCCCUCUGAACCGCUCUAGAAGAAUAGAAGUUUUCCUUCGGGACAGAGGUGACAGGUGGUGCAUGGUUGUCGUCAGCUCGUGUCGUGAGAUGUUGGGUUAAGUCCCGCAACGAGCGCAACCCCUAUUGUUAGUUGCCAUCAUUCAGUUGGGCACUCUAGCGAGACUGCCGGUAAUAAACCGGAGGAAGGUGGGGAUGACGUCAAAUCAUCAUGCCCCUUAUGACUUGGGCUACACACGUGCUACAAUGGAUGGUACAACGAGCAGCGAACUCGCGAGGGUAAGCGAAUCUCUUAAAGCCAUUCUCAGUUCGGAUUGGAGUCUGCAACCCGACUCCAUGAAGCUGGAUUCGCUAGUAAUCGCGCAUCAGCCAUGGCGCGGUGAAUACGUUCCCGGGUCUUGUACACACC